UUCUCUAGACUACUCAAGUCUAAUUUUACAGUCCACAUCAUUUGUACAGACAGACUUUUUUGGGUUCUAAGAUCCAAAGUCGAGAGGGAAACAGCCCAGAUCGUACACUGAGGUCCUUAAGCAAUCACUUAGUGGAAAAGGAAGUGAUCGAGCGAUGACAACCAGGAGGUGGGAUUGGAAGCAGCCAUCCUUUGAAGAAAGCGUAAUAGCUCACUGGUCUAGCUCCAUGGCACCGAAAAUGUAUCAGGGCUCAAGUGAUUCACCAAAAUGACGAGACCUUGAAAGCUGUUUAUUCAAGUGUCAGUAGCAGAACGUUCUGUCAAUCGGGGAAGGUUUUUGGUGACAAGACCUGGAGAUAUCAGAAGCA
rnacentral:ncRNA from 1 species